GCACGUGUGGCCGAGCGGUUGAAGGCACUGGGCUGCAAACCCAGCGACUCUGUCCUCGCGAGUUCGAAUCUCGCCACGUGCUCCA
rnacentral:tRNA from 1 species